GGAGUUAUGCCUGAAUUAAAGGAUUACUUUGAUAGAGUAAACAAUGAAGGUUAGACUCCUUCUAACUCCU
rnacentral:tRNA from 1 species